rnacentral:lncRNA from 1 species
GAAAAGAAAAGCAUAAGUAUUCCAUUUUGAUUUUUGAAUUCGGGUAAGUGUUUGAGUUCAGUUGAAACAAGUAUAUUCGAUGAGUUCUCAAGUUUACACUGUAUGAUGCUUACUAAGAAAGUUAUUAUCUCUCAUAUUUUUGUCUUUCAUGGGCUAGCAUGGUCGUGUACACACACGCACAAUAUCAGUAAUAACAGAUUUAGAUCCGUUGAUUGUUGGGAUAUUGUUGAUCUGCUUUUGCAUGAUGAAUUAGCAUGUUUACGUGAUUUUCU